rnacentral:rRNA from 1 species
CCUACGGGUGGCAGCAGUGGGGAAUAUUGGUCAAUGGGCGCGAGCCUGAACCAGCCACGUAGCGUGAAGGAUGACUGCUCUACGAGUGGUAAACUUCUUUUAUAAAGGAAUAAAGUGAGGCACGUGUGCCUUUUUGAAUGUACUUUAUGAAUAAGGAAAGGCGAACACCGUGCCAGCAGCAGCGGUAAUACGGAGGAUCUGAGCGUUAUCCGGAUGUAUUGGGGUUAAAGGGAGCGUAGAUGGGUUGUUAAGUCAGUUGUGAAAGUUUGCGGCUCAACCGUAAGAUUGCAAUUGAUACUGGUAGCCUUGAGUACAGUUGAGGUAGGUGGAAUUCGUGGUGUAGCGGUGAAAUGCGUAGAUAUCACGAAGAACUCUGAUUGCGAAGGCAGCUUACUAGACUGCCACUGACAUUGAUGCUCGAAAGUGUGGGGAGCAAACAGGAUUAGAUACCCGGGUAGUC